AAACUUACUAACUCUCUUGUUAACGAGUAAUUUUAAUUCACAUAUUGCAGGAAUCACGUGACAGCGAUAUUUGAUCAACCAUACUGUAAGAACACCGAGGAUUCACUAGAUUCGAAACAUGGAUGCUGACCAUUUUGUACUGAAGAGAUUAAAGAACGGAGCCCUUGAAUAUUUAGCUGUUCAACAAAUCUUUGAAACAAUCACUUCUUUGCUUUGCUGGAUCACCAGGGUUGAGAAUACAAGAGUUUGAAAGACUAUAGCACUUACCAGAGAAUGACACAGGACUACAACAUUGUAUUAACUAAAUAUGAUAAAGAAGAUCAACAAGGAAUGGCGGCUUUCAAUGAGCGCAACCCCCAUACGACCCAGCAACACAGGACCACCGACAAGGAGACCAAAAGGAAACCAAACCAAAACAAGACAAGGUACAAGAUUGAUAAUUCCGGAAUGCAGGCAGCAAAACUCACUGGAAAAAAAUGAUAAAAUCCUAUCAACAAUUUUACGUGUAUGAUUAAAUGGUUAGCAGUUUAUUAGACCAUGAAAAUAGUAAACAAAAA